GUGCAACGCGGCGGGGGAGAUAUUCAGGAUCGCCGCCAUCAUGAACGGGCUCGUGCUCAUCGGCGUCGCCAUCGGGUUCGUCCUCCUCCGAGUGGAGGCGGCGAUCGAGGAGUCCGAGUAGAACUAGGAUUAAACAAAAGUACUUGAGAAUUGCAUCAUGUUUUGUACUUUUUGUUUAUGUUAUAUGAACUAUAAAUUGUUUUGAAUUUGUACUAUGAUUGGUUGCAUACUCUGAAACAAGCCUUUUAAGUUGAGAAGUGUUUUGAGUUCCUGAUUCAUUUAUAGACUUAAUAGAUUUGUAUGAGUAACAAACAUAGGGGGUGAAAAGAAUGAUCAGAUAAAAGAGGCAAAAUAAGAAUGUUACAGAGAUUGUACAUAAAGAAAUUCAGAUUGUUGGUAACUGCAAAGCAAACUUACUGCUGAGAAGCAAUUACAGAUUGUAGGAAAACAUGUCUACAAAUCAGCAGAAUAUAAUGAACUCAAAAGUGUUUCAUGAGAAAACAAGCCUACAAAUUGUUCCUGGACUACCGCAUCUCAGUUCAUUUAAAUGCCCUAAUUGUUCAUCAAAUUAUAUGAAAGCAAAAAAUGUUGGCUAGAAGGGGCCAACAUCAUAUCUUGCGGCGAAAGUUGGAUUAGGUCGAGGCAUAGUCGAUGCCCUACAUGCUACGUAGCAGGAGCCAUAUUAUAAAUUAAGAUCCGUAGAUAUUGUAUCUAUACAUUUUAAGUAAAUAAGUUGUGUUUUUUUCAAUAAUUUGAGAGUUUUGAGUUAAUGGUUCAUGUCAACGCUCGACACAAACAGAUCACACACAGAGUUUUUACAGCAGAUUCACAUCUUCAAUACUUGCGGCAAUGGGAUAACACACACCCCCCACACCAAAAGAGAGAGAAGGGGUUGGAAGAACCCGAGCUUAAUGGGCGGGGCUGUAAAUUUGGGCCUCAUUGAGGUUAAUUUUAAUUUUGUGAAUAGGUGGACCAAGAGGCCCAUUUAGAUCCUACUCUAAGGUAGCGUUUGGUUGGGAAACAAGGAGGGGAAUAAGCCCGUUCCCAAACGCUGCGUUUGGUAUCCGAGAUUGGCAUCCGAAAACAGUAGUCCUCGGAUUUCUGGAAUAAGCCGAUAUAAGGAUAAAACUGUUGUUCCACCUUUUUCCUGGAACAAGCUUGUUCCCAGGUGAUAAUUAGGUUAAUUAAAGUCUAAAAAUAAUUUUAAUUAUAAUAUUAAAUAAUAUAUAAUUUAAUUAAUAUAUUUAAAUUAUUAUUUAUUACUAAAAUAAUAAAUUAAUUUAUUUAUUUAUUAUUUAAUUAAAUUAUUAUUAUUUAUAAAUUAUUAAUAAUUCAUUUAUUUAAUCAAUUAAUUUAUUAUUAUAUAUAAUUAUAUUAUUAAUUUAUAAUUUAAUAACUUAAUUUAUUAUUAAUUUAUUCCUAAUUAAAUUAAUUGACUUAUUGAUUAAUUAAUUUAAUAUUCUUAAUUAAUUUCGUAUUUAGAAUUAUAAAUAAUUUAUUAAUUUAGACAUUAUAAUAAUUUAAUUAUUUAUAUUAUUAAUUAAUAAUGUAUUAUUUAUAUCUAAUAGUUUUUAAUUUAUUUAUUUAUUUUAUUUUAAUUAUUGAUAAUUAUUAUUUUAAAUUAUUAUAAUUUAUUAUUUAAUUAUUGUUAUUUAAUUAAUUUAUUAUUAUAAUAUAUUAAUAUUAAUUUGUUAUUUUUUAAGUAAUAUUUUGAUUUUUAAUGAUUAAAUCAAAAUAAUUUUAAUUUAAAAUUAUAACUCCUAUCCUUUUGUUCUUUUUUUUUAAUGCUAAUCAGACCAAUACUAUUUAAUCUUAUUUUCUAGAAUAACCAAUUUUUAUCUAAAUAAAAAAUUGAUCUAAUUUCCUGUUUAUAUCUGAACUUUGUAUUAUCUCUAAAAUAAUAGGUUCUUUUUAUCAUCAAAAAUCAACGCCAGCCUUAAAUGGCUGGAGUAUGCAGUUGUGAUGGACUUGGCGCCCUCCUCUUAUCCUCUCGUUUGAGGAUAUUUGAGAUAUUUUGAGAUAUUUUAAGAGCUUAUCAUUAAAAGAUGUCUAAAAGAAGUAUUUUAUUUUUUUUUUUUUUUCUUCUGAGAUAUUUAUAAUAUAAUAAGUGCCUUAUUAGUCAAUAGUACACUUAUGCAUACACAAGAGGCAUAUUUGACCUUGAUAAAAUAUUUCCUAAAAAUAACUUAAUUCUCAUGAAAACAAAAAAACUCGUCUUGAUUCUAACUUUUAUUCUUAAAGAAUUACAUCUGUAUAAAAAAUAAAUAGAAUAAUAUAUUAUUUAGUAAAAUACAUAUUUGCAGUACAAAAUAAUUUUCUUUAUUUUGAAUAAUAUAAAUAGAAAUUGAAUAUAAUAUAGCUAAGACUAUUAUAUUUUAUUCUUAACAUUAAAUUAGUUGAGCAAAUAUAGAUGCUUUUUACAUAUUUGAUUUUAUUCCACCCUCUAAAUUACUUACAAACAAUUUGAUAUAUUAUAUUUAUAUAUUAUAGUAUAUAAUAUAUAUAUUAUAUAUAUAUAAAAUUGAGUUCGGAUCUUUUAAAAGCCAUCCAACCCCACCCUUGGUGCUUCUUAGCCGCGUUGGAUCUACUCCUUAUAACAUAAUAGCCUUUGAAUCCGUCAUACACCUAUUCACUACGACACUAUCCAUCAUCUCAACCCUACAUCUCUCAAUCUAUGUGCCUAAAAACUCCAAAAGCAUCACUCCCUUCGCUUUGAGAGUAUUCUAGCUCAACGUAUAUAUAUAUAUUAGCUUGGCUGGGCUAUAUUUCAGUAGCAAAAUUUUAUUUUUGCCUACUAAUUUUUUAGCCUUUUGGAUCAAACUCUUUUCAUUAUUUUCUAACCAUUGGGAUUACAUUACUAUCAACAGUGAGAACACUCAACCCUAGGGUGGACCACUCAGCUCUACGACUAAUUCAUCAUGACCCUACAAUUUUUCAUCCAGGCGUUAAAAACUUAUAGCCCAAAAGAGCGCUUUUCUAUUGAUAGUAUUCCAGCUUAAAUCUAUAUAUAUAUAUUAUAUAUUAUAUAUUAAAUAAUAUAUAUAUAGAGAGAUGAGGAUGAGACGAGCUAGAGUACGGGAGCGUUGAGGAGAUUGAGAGAGAGUUGAGAGAGAUGGCUCCGAUGAGGGAUAAGAGGAUGGUGAGAAUGAUUGAGAAGAGACGAGAUGUCAGUGAGGUACUAUGCUUUUGGAAGCACGCGAGCCCUUUCGUGCUUCCAGGUCAUUUUCGAUGUUAUCGACUUUCGAAUUCGUCGAUCGGCUCUGUUAAACUUGAUCAGAGUAUUUGAAGUACCUAGAAAUAGAUUUUAUGAUUUUCGAUAUCAUUUGCUGAGUCAUCGAAAGUGGCCUCAAAAUUCAAUAAUUUUAUAGCCUAGUGAGCCGUUUGCAAGUUUAACGUUAUAGAAAUAUCCCAAUCACAGUGAAAUUUUGAUAGAAAAUUCUUAUAUUUAAGAGUACUAAGUUAUUUGUGCUUGUAGAUUUUAGGCCUCUGGAUGUUAGGAGAAUAUGCGCGUUAGGAUGCGAUGCGGGCCCCCUAGGGUUGAGUAGGUUGUUGGCGUUAAAUAGUAUAUUGAAUGGUUGAAAAUGAGUCCGAUGAGUAGAUCUAACUGGUAAAAAUUUACAGCACAAACGGUUUGUACUCUUUACAAGCAUAUAGCUGGAUAUUAUAAUAUAUAAUAUAUAUAUAUAUAUAAUAUAUAUAUAUAUAUAGUCCGGCUGCUAUGCUAUCGAUAGUACAAAGUACUUGGUGCUAUCAAGUUUUUUGCCGUUAGAUUAAUCCCUUUGAUUAUUUUUACCCGUUAGAUUAUACUAUUCAACCAAUCACCCACUCAACCCUAGGGAGCCCACAUCAUCCUAACUGCACAUCUUUUAAUCCAAGGGUAAAAAAACUUAAUAUCACAAAGUCAUUGGUGCUAUUAAUAAUAUUCCAGCUUAGUUCUCUCUCUCUCUCUCUAUCUAUCUCUCUUUCUCUCUCUCUCUCUCUCUAUAUAUAUAUAGAGAGAGAGAGAGAGAGUCGGGCCGGAAUACUAUUAAUAACAAAAGGUCUUUUUUGCUAUCAAGUUUUUAACCUUUCGAUAAAAAAUUGUAGAGUUAGCAUGAUAUUAGUCCCUUAGGGUUGAGUGGUCCCCUUAGGAUUGAGUGGUCUCCACUGUGUUAUAAUAUUUAAUCCAAUGGUUAGAAAUGAUGAAAAGUUAAAAACUUGAUAACAAAAAGGGCCUUAUAAUAUUUGACAUGUUCUCUGUCAAAUCCCUAUAUAAUUUAUUACAAAACGGUGGUAUACGUGUCAAGUACUUUAACCAAUUACAAAACGGUGGUAUACGUGUCAAGCACUUUAACCAACUUUGGAGGAGUCGCUCACCUCUAAAAGUGAAGAUUUGCGUGUGGCUAGCAUUGAAAAGAAAAGUACCCACAGUAGACAACCUCUUGAGAAAGGG
rnacentral:lncRNA from 1 species